AUGGCUGCGUCCCACGUCAACACCAAUGGCGAGCUUCUAGAUCUGUAUCAACUUCCCUUCGUCCUCGGUGUUCAACGGAACAUAAGAUUGUCGUCGCUCGGGGAACUGUCUACGGCACCCGAUAUGUUCGAACAGCUCCAUUUCCUAACCAGAACUAGACAGUGGACCUGUGCACAGAUGGAAGUUCUGCGAGGAUACAGCUGGCUAGCUGGCUGGCUGGUACGCCUCCGCGACGACGUUCUUGAACCAUUACUGCCUGUUCAUAUUCCAAAUCCUGUGCUGCACGGCCAGCAGGGUUUUCUUCCCGUGAUUACCCGCAUCAUGCACGAAGCAAUUCAGCUAAUGCAUGCAAAAAAGGACAUUGGGUUUAAGCCUGUACAGCUUGGAACGCGACUUAAUAUUUUCAGCGAAGUCCUAAUUGAUCUGGCUGAAAAAGUUUUGGGAGACGGCUUGAGCGUAGCACAGUUCCAACUGCAUAUUCCACAUCUGAUCAUUUCCAUCAACAUGCUACUCCACGCGCAGAUGGCAUUCUGA
rnacentral:rRNA from 1 species